UUGAUAAUUAUCAAGCACUGUUCCAAGAAUGAGGAUUUCAGUAUUAGGAAUUCAGGAGCAGUUUGGUUUGACAGUUCUGAUUCUAGGAUUUUCAUGAGGUUGGCGUCAGAUCUCAGCUGGAGCUGCAGGCAUCUGAUGGUUUGAAGUUGGAGGAUCCAUCCCCAAGGUACCUCACCAAAAGAUUGUCAAGAAAACAAAACAAAACUUCUGGAAUGCCUCUUCAUCUGUACUGUAUCCUUGACAGAAUUC
rnacentral:lncRNA from 1 species